ensembl:lncRNA
CUCUGGGCUGCCCACCCACCAUUUCUUCUUUGUGUCUCUCACUCGGGUUUUUCCACAGUUGGGAGAUGACAGUGUAAGGGAGAGGUGGAUGGGAUUUCCUCGUCUCUCUGGUUCUUGACGUACUUCUGCAGAGCGUUUCAGAGUCAGAAUGUGGCUGACCCCUAUCACUUUUGAACUUUCUAGUUUCUAUCUGGUGGGUGAGGCUGGAAGCUGGAGUGGGCAACUGUAUUUGCUGAGAUAUCUUUCCCUACAGCUAUCUGGAAGAACAAGGGAAGUUCUGAUGCAGUUAGAGCAGGCGGCUCAGGAGGGCAGGGAAAAACACAGAAUUCUCCUGGCUGAGGUCUUCAGGAGGAGCUGAGCAGCUGAGUGACCUUGUGGCUGCUGGAAGAGGAUGCCUGAAGGGCUCAAGAGAAGGAGCAAGAGGGGCCAGGUGGAUCUGGACAACCAGAGCAAUUGUGUUGGCCACGUGGAAGAAGACAGUGGAAAGGAAAAGAUUAAAGAGUGGCUGCACUUGAGUGCCUAAAAAAGGCAGCGCUGGAGUUCUCAGGGGUGUCACUUAAGACCUGAAGGUGAACGAGCACAAUCGAGGAGUUCCGUAAGGGGGUUAGGAAAGCCAAGACCUACAUCCAUUACGUUAACUGCCAACCACUGGCUGUUUGUCCUGGAAGACGUGCCAUUGUCACCGUCUUUACAGAAGAUAAGUUCAAGAACUCAUGUUAGGUAAAAACGUGGCCUCCUAGCACUUUCCAUCAGAUAUGGAUUUGCUUUACUACCAACAUCACUCAUCGAACAAGGAACAAUGGG